AUUGAACGCUGGCGGCAUGCCUUACACAUGCAAGUCGAACGGCAGCACGGGUGCUUGCACCUGGUGGCGAGUGGCGAACGGGUGAGUAAUACAUCGGAACAUGUCCUGUAGUGGGGGAUAGCCCGGCGAAAGCCGGAUUAAUACCGCAUACGAUCUACGGAUGAAAGCGGGGGACCUUCGGGCCUCGCGCUAUAGGGUUGGCCAAUGGCUGAUUAGCUAGUUGGUGGGGUAAAGGCCUACCAAGGCGACGAUCAGUAGCUGGUCUGAGAGGACGACCAGCCACACUGGGACUGAGACACGGCCCAGACUCCUACGGGAGGCAGCAGUGGGGAAUUUUGGACAAUGGGCGAAAGCCUGAUCCAGCAAUGCCGCGUGUGUGAAGAAGGCCUUCGGGUUGUAAAGCACUUUUGUCCGGAAAGAAAUCCUUGGCUCUAAUACAGUCGGGGGAUGACGGUACCGGAAGAAUAAGCACCGGCUAACUACGUG
rnacentral:rRNA from 1 species